AUACGGAGGAUGCGAGCGUUAUCCGGAUUUAUUGGGUUUAAAGGGAGCGUAGGUGGGAUAUUAAGUCAGCUGUGAAAGUUUGGGGCUCAACCUUAAAAUUGCAGUUGAUACUGGUUUCCUUGAGUACGGUACAGGUGGGCGGACUUCGUGGUGUAGCGGUGAAAUGCUUAGAUAUCACGAAGAACUCCGAUCGCGAAGGCAGCUCACCGGGCCGGAACUGACACUGAUGCUCGAAAGUGCGGGUAUCAAACAGGAUUAGAUACCCUGGUAGUCCGCACAGUAAACGAUGAAUACUCGCUGUUUGCGAUACACGGUAAGCGGCCAAGCGAAAGCGUUAAGUAUUCCACCUGGGGAGUACGCCGGCAACGGUGAAACUCAAAGGAAUUGACGGGG
rnacentral:rRNA from 1 species